AUUAACAAUAUGCCUAUUGUGGUGUAUAACAUGUCUAGGCCUAAUUCCACCAUCUUUGAUCUUCCAUAUCCAUUCGUUCCAUUUGAACAGCUGGACAAAAUAAACAAUGAUGGUAAUAAACGCUUGGGAUAUUUUGUCCUUCAGCAAAGUACCCUACUAGCCUAAAGCACACAGAUUGAUACAAGGCAAUGUGUAACGAGUAGGUAAAGUCAGAACCAUGAAGAAAUAAUGAGGCCAAGCCUACACCUUGCAGUAGGGGUGCGUGGGUAAAAUCACCGGGAAGCCAAGGUGGCCUGUCCCCGGCUGGAGCUGUCCCCGGAAAUGUCCCUGUUUUUAACUGCUUUAAAAUAAUACUGCAAAGUGAAAUAAUAUUUUAAGAAAGACCGGGCAACAGAGCCUAUCGUUUGACGUCUCAAUCGCGUGGUGCUUGUUUUGUCCAGCAGAGGGGGCUGCUCGCUAUAGCAGCUUCAUUCACUCUCCUUCUACUAACUACCUGCUCGCUAUAGCAGCUUCAUUCACUCUCCUUCUACUAACUACCUGCUCGCGAUAGUUUUAGAGAAAACUGCUGUGAAAACCUCAGCCGGAAGCUAGCAAGUGUCAUGUGAAUCCACAACAUCAACACAAACGUAUUUUUAAGCCAGAGAGUGGAGAGGAAGGAGUUGAGGAAGAUGAGUGAAAGGGAGAGAAGAGGAAAGAUUGGAGAAGAAGGAGAAGGAAAAUUUAAGGGAGUAAAAAGAGUGAAGCGAGGAGAGUGUGGAAGAGUGAGGUGGAAAGGUAAAGAGAAGGAAAGGAAGAAAGAGCAGGAAGACGAGUGAAGAAAAGAGGAGGUGAAAGAUUGAAGGAGAAGAAAAAGUUUGGCUGGCCUUUGUCCAUGGAAACCUGACCGUAUUCAGUGACACAAUCAAGAUAAUUGAAGGCCAGGACUGCUGUGUUGUGGAUUCUGAGAAAUGUUGAGGCAAAAUUGACUGCAAGACGUGAUGACAACUUCAUUCCAGUUUUGGUCAAAGGACUUCUGAGAGAGCUAGAGGGAAAUGGAUCAAUGUCUAAAGAGAGCUUUCUCAAAAUAUCCCAAUCAUUCUUCACUAUGGCUGUGAACUACUUGCAAGCAUGGGGAAAGCACACAGAUAAUCUAAAUGAUUUUACAUUGUCUCCUUUUAAAAAGGAAACCUCAGCGUGUAGAGAUCCAGAAUGCAGCAGGCACACUGCAGGAAAAAUGCCCCAAUGUGACCAUCAAUGAGGAUGCAUUAUGUGACGAGGUUACUGGCCUGCAAGAGUUCCUUAAGGGGGGAUCGCUUGAAGAAUGGAAAACAUCUGAGACACCGCUUAGUCAGAGAUGGAGCACGGUGGUUACCCACUUCAAAGAGAAUGACAUCCCACACACUAACCUGGCUAGAUUAGCGUCUGUUGUCAUGUGCUUACCUGGAUGUAAUGCACCAGUCGAGAGAGUGUUCUCCCAAAUUAAUGAUAUAUGGACAGCAGCAAGAAAUAGGUUCACUGUUCCUACCAUCAAGGCCAGGCUUAUUGUGAAGAUAAACGUCAACCUCCCCUGCCAGGAGUUCAUGGAGAAGCUGGCCAAAGACAGAGCAAUCCUGAAGAAGAUACAUUCUUCUGAGAAAUAUACAGAUUAGACUACCAGGACCACUGAAUGGCUGUUCAGAUCGGACAGUUCUGUCUUGUCUGUAGUGUUUCUGUAAUAUAGUUGUUUUCUCUAUCACAGUGUGCCUGUUAGACUAAAUACAUGAAACCGGAAUUGUCCCCCUUUUUUAUUUCAUAGAUAAUAACAUUGGAUAUUUUAAUGAUAUAUUGACCGCCGAACUGGAAAUGUCCCCGGUUUUAAUUUCAGGAAUCUGGUCACCUUAAUGUAACAGACAGUUACAUGACCUACAGCAUGGUCAAGCAAGUUAAUGUUUCUGACUUUUUUUGGACUACUAAACAACUAUUGAUUUAGAGUUACCGCAAGUCGCAAAAAAACAGGGGCUGCCUCCACUAUUCCAUCACCACUUCAACAUCAUUUAACUUCUACUUCCACACAAUCCCGGAUCCGGGAGCACCCCCAUCAGUAAAAAAGCUGACUAGCAUAGCCUAGCAUAGCGUAAAUACUAAGUAAAUACUAGCAUCUAAAUAUCAUUAAAUCACAAGUCCAAGACACCAGAUGAAAGAUACACAUCUUGUGAAUCCAGCCAUCAUUUCUGAUUUUUAAAAUGUUUUACAGGGAAGACACAAUAUGUAAAUCUAUUAGCUAACCACAUUAGCAAAAAACACAACUUUUUUUACUCCACCAUUUUUUUCCUGCAUAGGUAGCUAUCACAAAUUCGACCAAAUAAAGAUAUAAAUAGCCAAUAACCAAGAAACAACUUCAUCAGAUGACAGUCUGAUAACAUAUUUAUUGUAUAGCAUAUGUUUUGUUAGAAAAAUGUGCAUAUUUCAGGUAUAAAUCAUAGUUUACCAUUGCAGCCACCAUCACAACUCUCACCAAAGCGACUAGAAUAACUACAGAGAGCAACGUGAAUUAGCUAAAUACUCAUCAUAAAACAUUUCUGAAAAAUACACAGCGUACAGCAAAUGAAAGACACAGAUCUUGUGAAUCCAGCCAAUAUUUCAGAUUUUUUAAGUGUUUUACAGCGAAAACACAAUAUAGCAUUAUAUUAGCUUACUACAAUAGCCAACCACACAGCAGCAUUGAUUCAUGCACGUUAGCGAUAGCGAAUAAACCAGCAAAAGAUAUUACAUUUUUGACUAACCUUCUCAAAACUUCAUCAGAUGACAGUCCUAUAACAUCAUAUUACACAAUACAUAUAGAGUUUGUUCGAAAAUUUGCAUAUUUAGCGGCACAAAUCGUGGUUAUACAAUGAGAAAAGUAGCCAGGCUGCCAACAAUAUGUCGGGAGAAAUCUUGGGAGAGGCACCUAAUCUAAUCGAUAACUAAUCAUAAACUUGACUAAAAAAUACAGGUUGGACAGCAAAUGAAAGAUACAUUAGUUCUUAAUGCAAUCGCUGUUAGAUUUUUAAAAUUAACGUUACUACAACAUACAGCGUGCGUUAAAUCGAGACCGCACCUAGAUUAUUGGCAGAAUAUCUGUUAUACAUUUUUCAAAAGAACAACGAAUUAACAUCAUAAAUACUUCUUACUUUUUGAUGAACUCCCAUCAGAAUCUUGGGCAAGGUGUCCUUUGUCCAAAAGAAUCGUUGCUUGAUUGUAGAUUGUCCUCUUCAACGUUCGAAUUAGCAGUAAACAUUAGCCAUGUGGCAAAGACGUGUCCGACUCACUAAAACGCAGGACAAAUAAAUAUCCGAAAAUCGCAAUAUACCGAUAUAAAAUGAUAUAACUCGGUUUAAUAUAACAACAUUAUGAUGGCUUUAACACCUAUAACGAAUAAAAACAGAGCCGGAUAUAUCUAAGGCCUAUAACCGGAGCGUUCUAGAGCCACAGGCAGAGGUCCUUCCUGCGUCAGAGCGAAGUGAACAAAGACCGGACCCUACGUUCCCAGGCCAUUUAUAACCUCUCAGUUCUGCCUAGCAACUCCAUUUCAAUUCUCACUAUUCGCUGACACCCAGGGGAAGACGUAUGCAGUGCAUCUCAACCAAUAAAAGACAGGCAGAUUUAUAAACAGAUCUCAGAACAGCAAGCCGAUUUCAGCAUUCUCACAUCCUCAUAGGAAAAUUGCUCUAAGUCCAGUUCUGUUUUACUCACAGAUAUAAUUCAAACGGUUUUAGAAACUAGAGAGUGUUUUCUAUCCAAUAGUAAUAAUAAUAUGCAUAUUGUACGAGCAAGAAUUGAGUACGAGGCAGUUUAAUUUGGGAACAAAAUUAUUACUAAGUGCAAACAGCACCCCCUAUUGAGAAGAAGUUUUAAUCAACUAAAAGAUACCAAAAACGAUUUAGUCUGAUCAACCUAAGCUAAAUAUGUGUCUGUCCAUGGUACUGAUUUCUGUGUGUGCUUGCAAGUAAAAAAACAAAACAAGUUGACUCACCCAACUUGUAGAGAAAUGUCAAUGCCAUCCUCAUCUUUCAUGUUCCCUGAACGGUAUAUGAACAUUAUACAGUACACGUUUUUAGUUUUUGUUGUCCUAGGCUACCUAGCUAAAAUGUUUGCUCACUAGCAUUUAAUUCAUGUAGUAACUAGUAACCUCCAUUCAUGGGCAACGAUGCGCUAGUCCAGCUAGUUAACUACACCUUUUCAAAUGAUUACUCUUUUUGAGAAGUAACUGUGAGAAACUCAUCUCACUACCUACACACUUUCAAAAAAUGUCAUUUGGACAAUUAUUAUUUAGUAUUUUAUUGUGUUGUAUUCCAUUAUAUUAUAGUUUGGAGUAUGUUCUGUGCCUAUUUAGCUAAAAUGUUUGUGUUGGAUUAAAACAACACUAUAUUUUAUUUUUUAUUUUACCUUUAUUUUAUCAGGGAGUCAUACAUAUAGCUUCCAUAAAGAUUCCAUUAGACUUUUCAGAUUGUAGAUGCAACAUUUUUUAUUACAUUUAUAAUUUAUCACUCACAUGCUCAUUUCCAUCCAUUAAGAAUCAAUGAUGUGCUACCUUUUUGUAACAUUUCUGGUAUUGCUAAUUUCUUUUCAGCCAAAUCUCUGAGUUCUAUCUAAGCUUGUCAGGUACUUGGAUGCUAGGUAACAAUACAGCUCUAUUAGCUAACAUUAGCUUGCUUGUCCAAAGUCCAACAGCUAGCCUCUGUAGCUAGCUAGUUAACACAAGUCACCUGAAAGCUAGCUAGCUAACGAAAAGGCAAAUAAAUGUAGCUAGCUGUAAAUGUUUAUGGAAAUUUUGUUACACAAAUAACCUCAGCCAUUAGCUAGCUAGCAGACAACAUCUGACAUUGACACAAAAGCUAGCUAAUGAUAGCUAGCUGACAUCCAAAUGCCAGUCCUACAUGUUUACACAAAACAUAGCUAGCCAGCUACAUCAGUUCAAAACCAAAUUGUCACGCUACUACCUUAGAAUGCCUGCAAUGCAUUUAUAGAGCUUUUAUAGAAAAGUACAACCUUCUUAUCUACGCGGCAGUUUAGUAGAUGUUUGGAAACAGUGGGUAAACAGUGAUUAGCUUGUCUGUGCAGAUUUAAGAUAGCUGACGUUGAUCGCACGAUGGCUCAACCAUCUAACUGCAGUUGCCACAGCUC